GCCAGGCAUGGUGGUGCGCGCCUUUAGUCCUACCUACUUGGGAGGCUGAGGCAGGAGAAUCACUUGAACCCGGGAGGCGGAGGUUGUGGUGAGCCGAGAUAGUGCCAUUGCACUCCAGCCUGGGUGACAGGAGUGAAACUCCGUCUCAAAAGAAAAUAAAAAAGAAAAUUAAAAGGAUUUUUUUUGUUUUUGAGACGGAGUUUCACUCUUGUUGCUCAUGCUGGAGUGCAAUGGCGCAAUCUCGGCUCACCGCAACCUCCACCUCCUGGGUUCAAGCGAUUCUCCUGCCUCAG
rnacentral:SRP_RNA from 1 species